UACGUAGGGUCCGAGCGUUGUCCGGAAUUACUGGGCGUAAAGCGCGCGCAGGCGGCCAGCGAGGUGUCACGUGAAAGCCCCGGGCUCAACCCGGGAGGGUCGUGGCAAACCGGCGGGCUUGAGGCCGGUAGAGGCGGGUGGAACUCCUGGUGGAGUGGUGAAAUGCGUAGAGAUCAGGAAGAACACCCGUGGCGAAGGCGGCCCACUGGGCCGGUACUGACGCUGAGGCGCGAAGGCGUGGGGAGCGAACGGG
rnacentral:rRNA from 1 species